GACGAACGCUGGCGGCAUGCCUAACACAUGCAAGUAGAACGCUGACGCGGGGAGAUUAUGCUCUUUGGAGGGGUUGGGAACGGGUGAGUAAGGCGUAGAUAACCUUCUUCGUUGCGGGGGGGAACAAUUGGAAAAGAUUUAUAAUACUGCAUAACAAUGGAUGACAGAGGACAUUGGUUUGAAAGGGGCAUUUGCCCCAUUACAAGAUGGAUCUGAGGUGGAUUAGGUAGUAGGUGAGGUAAUGGCCCACCCAGGGGGCCGUACAUAGCCGACCUGAGAGGGUGGACGGGCACACUGGGACUGGGACACGGCCCAAGCUUCCACGGGAGGCAGCAGUAGGGGAUCUUCGGCAAUGGGGGCAACCCUGACCGCACAAAGCCGCGUGAGUGAAGGAGGGUUUCGGAUUGGAAAGCUCUGUUGUAAGUCAAGAACGGGUGUGAGGGUGGAAAGUUCACGCUGUGACGGUAGCUUACCAAAAAGGGACGGCUAACUACGUG
rnacentral:rRNA from 1 species